rnacentral:lncRNA from 1 species
UUUGCUACGAUUUUUGCUAUGUAGGGGUGGCCUAGGGUCAAGAAGUGUGCAGACUUGCUGAGUCGAUCGACUACUACAAUAAUGGUGUUCUUACCACUGAAAGGGGGAUAAAGUCCAUUAUUAUGUCUUCCCAGACUUGGCAUCGAAUGGGGAAUGGUUGUAGAAGGCUAGUUGGUGCCAGGGUUUCUGGUUUGGCUAUUUAGCAUACUUCACAAGUAGACACAUAGUCUUGUACUAUUUUUUUCCAUGUUUGGCCAGUAGAAUUGUUGUAUCAAUCUCUUAUAGGUCCGUAGGAUUCCUGAAUGCACUCCUAAUGGUGAAUCAUGGUAGGCUUGUAGGAGUUAU